rnacentral:rRNA from 1 species
AGUGAACGCUGGCGGCAGGCCUAACACAUGCAAGUCGAGCGGCAGCGGGUCCCCGCGAGGGGAUGCCGGCGAGCGGCGGACGGGUGAGGAACACAUCGGAAUCUGCCUGGUUGUGGGGGAUAACGUAGGGAAACUUACGCUAAUACCGCAUGAGACCCUGAGUCGACGGACUGGGGUGAAAGUGAGGGACCUUCGGGCCUCACGCGACCAGAUGAGCCGACUGUCGGAUUAGCUAGUUGGCGGGGUAACGGCCCGCCAACGGCGACGAUCCGUAGCUGGUCUGAGAGGAUGAUCAGCCACACUGGGACUGAGACACGGCCCAGACUCCUACGGGAGGCAGCAGU